CCUACGGGGGGCAGCAGUCGAGAAUUAUUCACAAUGGGGGAAACCCUGAUGGUGCGACACCGCGUGGGGGAAUGAAGGUCUUCGGAUUGUAAACUUCUGUUCUUAGUGAAGAAUAAUGACGGUAGCUAAGGAGCAAGCCACGGCUAACUACGUGCCAGCAGCCGCGGUAAUACGUAGGUGGCAAGCGUUGUCCGGAAUUACUGGGUGUAAAGGGAGCGCAGGCGGGAAGCCAAGUCAGCUGUGAAAACUACGGGCUUAACUUGUAGACUGCAGUUGAAACUGGUUUUCUUGAGUGAAGUAGAGGUUGGCGGAAUUCCGAGUGUAGCGGUGAAAUGCGUAGAUAUCAGGAGGAACAUCGGUGGCGUAAGCGCUUUACUGGGCCGUAAUUGACACUGAGGAACGAAAGCCGGGGUAGCAAAUGGGAUUAGAUACCCCUGUAGUC
rnacentral:rRNA from 1 species